rnacentral:rRNA from 1 species
UACGAAGGGGGCUAGCGUUGCUCGGAAUUACUGGGCGUAAAGGGAGCGUAGGCGGAUAUUUAAGUCGGGGGUGAAAGCCCCGGGCUCAACCUGGGAAUUGCAUUCGAGACUGCAUAGCUAGGGUGCGGAAGAGGGAAGCGGAAUUUCCGGUGUAGCGGUGAAAUGCGUAGAUAUCGGAAGGAACACCAGUGGCGAAAGCGGCUUCCUGGUCCAGCACCGACGUUCAGGCACGAAAGCGUGGGGAGCAAACAGG